UUCUAAUUUCCUUUGCAGAAAAGCCUGAUGAAAACACAAACCUGAUGGGUGUGAUUCUGGCUGCUCUGACUGUUUUCCUUGUGAUGGUCGUCAUCGGUCUGGUGGUAAAAAUCAGGAAACUUCAGAAAGCUGAUGAAGACAAAGAUGAUCAACCAAGCCAGAAUCUGGGCUCUGAUGACUUGAACUAUGCAACAGUGACAUUUGCUAAAAGAGGAGGAAGAAGAGAGAUGGAGUCAAAUGUUGUGUAUGCUGCCACCAGAUAAACGCAACUGCAGCUCAGAGUGAAACUGAUGCCUCCUCAGUCUGCUGCUUGUCUGAGUCUUGUGGUUGGGGUUGUUACCAUUACAACUGUCAGAAAAAUGCCAUUUUGCAGAGCAGAAAUGUGAUUUGUGUUGAAGAAUGAAAAAUAAAAACAUCUGUGUGUGUCCAGAGUGUCUGAUAGUGAGAGUCAGAGUGAGCAGCAGUGGAAGAGAGAGAGAACACAUCACUGGUUAGACAGGAAGAGACAACAGUGUGGUCUGAGGACAGCUGAGGUGGAAAUCAUGAGGCCUGUUAGCUCGAAGCUUUGAAAGAAGAAAUGUGAAUACUGGAUGACUUUUCUCUGUCAAACCGGUUAUGAAAAUGCAUUGUACAUACAUUUAUAUAGAUGCUUCUGCAUAACAUCACUGUAAUUCACUGUCUGAAUUCAAAAUAAAACUCAUCUUAAAAAGGC